rnacentral:misc_RNA from 1 species
CCACUGCACAGGUGGUGGAGGGC